AUUGAACGCUGGCGGCAGGCCUAACACAUGCAAGUCGAACGAGUGGCGGACGGGUGAGUAAUGUCUGGGAACCUGCCCGAUGGAGGGGGAUAACUACUGGAAACGGUAGCUAAUACCGCAUACCAUCGGAUGUGCCCAGAUGGGAUUUGCUAGUAGGUGGGGUACCGGCUCACCUAGGCGACGAUCCCUAGCUGGUCUGAGAGGAUGACGAGCCACACGGGAAAUGAGACACGGUCCAGACUCCUAGGGUAGGAAGCAGUGGGGAAUAUUGCACAAUGGGCGCAAGCCUGAUGCAGCCAUGCCGCGUGUAUGAAGAAGGCCUUCGGGUUGUAAAGUACUUUCAGCGGGGAGGCGUGACCCGCAGAAGAAGCACCGGCUAACUCCGUGCCAGCAGCCGCGGUAAUUC
rnacentral:rRNA from 1 species